CGUAGGUGGCAAGCGUUAUCCGGAAUUAUUGGGCGUAAAGCGCGCGUAGGCGGUUUUUAAGUCUGAUGUGAAAGCCCACGGCUCAACCGUGGAGGGUCAUUGGAGACUGGAAAACUUGAGUGCAGAAGAGGAAAGUGGAAUUCCAUGUGUAGCGGUGAAAUGCGCAGAGAUAUGGAGGAACACCAGUGGCGAAGGCGACUUUCUGGUCUGUAACUGACGCUGAUGUGCGAAAGCGUGGGAUCAAACAGGAUU
rnacentral:rRNA from 1 species